rnacentral:lncRNA from 1 species
CUCGCAGCCCGGACGGCUCAUCCGGCCGCCCGCCCGNNNNNNNNNNNNNNNNNNNNNNNNNNNNNNNNNNNNNNNNNNNNNNNNNNCGGACGCAGGCCCGCGGGUGCUGGUGGGGGGGCCCGGGCCUCUGGUCCCCGGUACAGGUGGCUCGCAGGGGAAUAAAGAAAAGAUUUCGGGUUGAUGAGCAGCAGAGCUGCCUCUCCACCACAGAGUAAAGAAGAUGUGCCUUUGUGAGCCUGGGCCGCCGUGGGAUCUGUGUCCCCUGCAGCAGUGAGCUCUGCUCCCCUGGACAGCCCGGCCGGCCUGGCCUGCCACCCACAGCGGUGCUGCCUCGGCAGUAUGGGCCGAACAGCCUCAGGAGCCUGGCUGCGUGCCCCCGCGCUGCUUCUGCAGCCGUGACACGUGUCAAGCGUUGAGGUGAAAUGAAGGGAUUUCUGUGAGCUUUUCCAAAGGACAAAAAUCGGUUAUGCAUAUGAAGUCACUGAAGUUAACAGAAGCACUCAUGUAUGGGUAUUGCAGCAUAAAUUAUCUUCAGCUGAAGAAACAAGAUGGUUGUGAAGAAAGAGGAAAGACAAUUCUCACUGCGUCAGAGAGGAAGGAUGCAUUGUCUUCCUGAAUUUGGAGGAAGAGAAUAAUAAUUAAAACCAUCCUCAUCACCAUCUCAGUCCUAUUCUGCCUCAUUUUCCUCCAGGUGGUUAAGCCCCAAGUGAUGGGCAGUUCUUUAAUACGCAGAGCUACCACAGAGUCUUCUUUUCUCAAAUGUGAAAGUGGCUUAGCAAAUAUCUAGCUUCUCUAAGGACAGCUGAUGGUGUAUAUUUGAGUGAAGGAUUUUUUUUAAAAAAAGAGUCCUCUGUUUAAUGGGUAAUUUCCCUUGAAAAUGGUAAACUGCAAAUGAAAUGGCAAAAAGCAAUUAAUUAUUGAAAUGAUAAUAUCCUUGUAAAGGUUAAGAGGUAAUAUAAAUGAAGUUCCUGUGAGCAUAUUAAUGGAAUUACUAUCUUCCCCCUCAUAAGUGGCAACUGUAACAACCUUGCUAAUGAGCUUUUUCAUCGGGAAAAGGAAUAUUGAAAUAUGAAGUUUCAUUACAGAAGCAAAAUCUAUGACUAGCUUAUUUUGCUAUGACAUAAUACAGAGAGAAACCUUUUACGUGCAUUUAAGAGCUCUUCCCAGAGCAUGCAGUUUUUGGUGGAAACGGGAAACAAUGCAUUUGAAUUACAUAGGAAGAACAACCUGUAAUUUAGAAGGGUAACACAGGCCAAAGCAAAAGAUUAAUGCGGACACCGAGACCAAGAUGCCCCUCUCAUCAGCUUGCUGCAGCUUCCCUGGGAGCACAGGGCAUGAUUCAACCCACUGAGGCUGAAGAGGUGACUAUCCCUCCCCACACAGUGCAGGGUAGGUAGCCUGGGCUCUACAGUCCAGUCUGGGUCUCAGGUACUCCCUAUGCAGUAUUUUUAAUAUGUGGAACUAUAGGUAUAUACAUGUAAUACAUAAAUGCAUACCAUGGAGGCAUAUGAAUG